rnacentral:rRNA from 1 species
GACGAACGCUGGCGGCGUGCCUAAUACAUGCAAGUAGAACGCUGAAGGAGGAGCUUGCUUCUCUGGAUGAGUUGCGAACGGGUGAGUAACGCGUAGGUAACCUGCCUGGUAGCGGGGGAUAACUAUUGGAAACGAUAGCUAAUACCGCAUAAUAGUAGAUGUCGCAUGACAUUUGCUUAAAAGGUGCAAUUGAAUCCCUACCAGAUGGCCCUGCGUUGUAUUAGCUAGUUGGUGAGGUAACGGCUCACCAAGGCAACGAUACAUAGCCGACCUGAGAGGGUGAUCGGCCACACUGGGACUGAGACACGGCCCAGACUCCUACGGGAGGCAGCAGUAGGGAAUCUUCGGCAAUGGACGGAAGUCUGACCGAGCAACGCCGCGUGAGUGAAGAAGGUUUUCGGAUCGUAAAGCUCUGUUGUAAGAGAAGAACGAGUGUGAGAGUGGAAAGUUCACACUGUGACGGUAUCUUACCAGAAAGGGACGGCUAACUACGUG